GGUCCAAGCAGCCAGUACAGAAGACAAACAUGAUCAUUUACAAAAAUUCUCAUUGUCUAAGAAAACAAAGCUUUUGUGGGGUGGACCUUCAUGUGGUGGACACAGACUAAAAUAGUGAGAGACCCAACCAACUCCAUGGUUUCUAGAGUAAACACAGUAAGCAGGUGUUGCAAGGCCUGGAAAUGAUCUGAUAUAACCCAGGGAUAAAGCCCAGAAUGUUUGGGUCAGUGGUUCUCAACCCUGCCUGACAUCAAAGUCACCUGGAAUCCAGGCCCUGGGGCCUUUCCCUCGUGGGUAGUGCGGCCGGGUACUGGAGAGAUUUCAGCCUCUGUAUAUUUCCAAAGCUCUGCAGCCAUUUCUGAUCCACAUCUAAUGCUGAGAAACACUGAUCUCCACCAGGGAUUCUUACAUUGUUCCGCAAAGCCCCCAGGAACCUGCCAGCAGUCCUGGGAGCUGCUCCAGGGAAAAGGGAGCUACUGAGUGGCCUCUGGGCUCUCUAUCUGGGCCAUGAGAAGACUUGGGGAUGCUGUGGGUGUGAUCAGAUGGCAUUUGGGGCCAGGACAAAGCACAAAUGCCUGGGUCCUCUAUUGCCCCAUCCGGGACACCCCCAAGGGAGGAGACGCAUAAAGAAGACCAUGGCUGGGCAGGAGGAAGUCAAGCAAUGAAGGGCUAGAGUCUCAGAUCUGCGAUCUGAGCUGGGAGGAGAGAUCAGGUCCCCAUACACUCAGGGGCAUCGGCAACCAGAGAGGAAGCAGCAGGCUGGAGAGCAGGAGCUCCCACAUCCAUUGCCGGGCGCUGACAGAGAGGAGGAGCCGAGGGUAGGCUCUGGCCCUCCUGGUUUCUGGCCACAGGAAAGGGAGAAAUGGCCAGUGAGCCACACUCACAAACACUGCGACUCUGCCCACGGAGUGGAAGACCGAGAAACCAGAAGCGAUGGAAACCAGGGCUUCCUAGAAGAAAUGAUGCAUUCCCCACCUCCCUCUGUUUGUGCUGCAGUGAAAACUGACACGAGAGAUUCAUUGGAACAUGUGCCCUCGUUCCACUCUCAUCAGCCCACCACGGGGACGGGAGCUGUUCAUCUUUUUGGCUCUGCUCACAGCCUCCAGAACACUUGUGAGGGGCACCUUGCGGGUGCCGUGGUCGGAGGAGGCCCCUGGAGCUCUUCCAGAGGCUGGCACUCUCCGCAGUUGUUGCUCACCUACCUGCUCAGGCCAGGACAGGCCGGAGUGGACAAUGUCUUCCCAGGAGACUGAAGCUGCUCUAUCACUCACCAAACCCCCUCAUCUGCUGGCCUGACCCUGUGCUAUGCUGGAAAUAGCACUCGAGGCGGACAUCCUCUCUGACCUGGAGAAGGGCAGUGCCCUGGAAGGAGAGGGCACAGAAGCAGCUGUUUACAUAACCUCUGAGGGCUGCGAUGGGGCAAUGGGGUGAGCAGGAGAGCGACAGGAGCCCGGGGCAGCUGGUGACCCACCCCUGGAGGCAUUUGUGAGGUGUCGGAAGAGGGGGCCCCUUGAGCAGGGCCUGCAGGGAUGGCUAAGAGUCCAUCAGGCAGAUGAAAUGAUUUGCUUUCCUCACACUUACCAAGCUUAGAAAUGACCUCCUUCGUGCAUGUGAAUGACUUUAUUCAUGUGUAUGACUCACCUUCUUCAUGCAUGUGAUGAUCUUAUUGUUUUCGACUCACUUUCAUGCAUGUGAUGACCUUAUCCAUGUAUGUGACUCACCUUCAUGCAUGUGAUGACCUUAUUCAUGUAGCUGAUUCGCCUUCUUCAUCCAUGUGAUUACCUUAUCCACGUAUGUGACUCACCUUCUUCAUGCAUGUGACAACUUUAUGAAUGUGACUCACUGUUCGUCUUCCCAUCCCCCUAAAAUAUAAACUCAAUGAGAGCAAGACCUCUGUCUACUUCUUUUUAAUCAGCAUGUCCCCAGUGCCUAGCUCAGUACACAGUAAGUACUCAAAACUACGUGUUGAAUGGUUGGGAAUGAAGGCCAAGGGAGAGUCAGGGUGGGAAGGACCUUGAC
rnacentral:lncRNA from 1 species